rnacentral:rRNA from 1 species
UGAGGAAUAUUGGUCAAUGGGCGCAAGCCUGAACCAGCCAUCCCGCGUGAAGGAAGAAGGCGCUAUGCGUCGUAAACUUCUUUUCCAGGGGGAGAAUUUUCCGGUCGUGACCGGAAUUGACGGUACUCUGGGAAUAAGCAUCGGCUAACUCCGUGCCAGCAGCCGAGGUAAUACGGAGGAUGCGAGCGGUAUCCGGAUGUAUUGGGUUUAAAGGGUGUGUAGGCGGAUCAAUAAGUCAGUGGUUAAAUCCUGCAGCUUAACUGUAGACUUGCCAUUGAUACUGUUGGUCGUGAGUAUGGUCAAGGUAGGCGGAAUGUGUAAUGUAGCGGUGAAAUGCUUAGAUAUUACACAGAACACCGAUUGCGAAGGCAGCUUGCUGGGCCAAUACUGACGCUGAUGCACGAAAGCGUGGGGAUCGAACA